UUGUGUUUCAAACGCGCCAUUGCACCAGUGAAUAUAGGCAUGUAGUAUAGACAGUGUACUCUGUAUACAGUCGGCGAUGUGCACAUAUUAUUGCAGUUAAACACAAACGCGUAACAAUUGGAGACACGUGACAAUGGCAUGAAGUGCUCCUAAAAUAAAAACCUUAGCUAGAAGGGUAGCUAGCUUACCAGCGCUACUUGGUCCCUAAACUAGCAAAGCAAGCUACACACGAGGUAGGGCAUUCAGCUAGGCCAUCUACUGGCUAGCCUGCUAGCUGGAAGACUGUUAGCUACCUUACUAACCAUCAUUAGCCGCCUACGGCCUCCAUGUCUACGCUUACUUCUUGGAUCGUUAUGGCUGCCUGUUCAGUGACGACGUGACGCAAGCGGCGGGAGAAUCAAACGUCAUUGCGUAUCAAACGGAGGCUUGGGCGCAGCAGCUCAGCGGCUAAGAACGAACAACAGAUGAAGUGAAAAGAAAAGCUCUUCCUGAGUCACCCUCGUCAGUCAGUUAGCCUGAAGAGGAUACGCUCCAGUCAAUCCCACAUCCCACGAGGAAAACGGGACUGGACGGCACAGAACAGAGGCAUCAUUGCAGCUCAUUAUAAAUAAUGCAGGCCAACGAUGAGCACUAGGGCCUGGGGAAGGCCUGCACUGCUUGGGCUGUGUGCUACUGUAAAUAUAGCCACAGUGUGCAGCUCUGGGCCUAGCUAAGUUACAGAGUCCAGCGCACUGAGCUGAAGCUCCGCCAGUGUCUUUCUCUCUCUCUCUCUCUCUUAAUCCUUCCGGACCUGUCAUCCUCAGCCUCCACAGUUGUGUGACUGAAUCUGUGUUUACAUGUGCGUUUGUUAGUAUUAGUGUGGGAAAUGUGUGUGUGAGAGGUGUAUUCUCUCUGUGACUGAGUGUAUGUGAGGG